GUACCCACAGGCACAUGACGGUCUGCACCCAGGCCAGGGCUCAGUGAGGAGCCGGAGUGUCCCGGCCUGCCUGGACUCCAGCCGGGACCUCCCACAUGAGGCUCAUUCAUCUAUGCCCAGGAUUCUCAAAGAACCCCGGCCCCAGCCUGCUCUCUGUCAUGUGCUGAGCCCCAAGCUUACCCAUGCCUCCUGCCGUGGGGACCAGAGAAUGAGAAGACCACCAGGGAGACCCGCCCUGGAGACCAUGGUGUGCUGCUGACUCACGAGAAUGACAUCACCAAGUGUGCCCUCUGUCCUGUCACUUGGAGCUCCUGGAAGCACAGAAUGUCCCUCAGCCUGGACACUGCCCCUGGCCUGGGGAGGUAGAUGCUCCCCACCUCCCCUCCUGCCCUAGUGCAGAGGAAAGAAGAUCAAAUCUGGAGUCAGCAGACAUAGGAGUCUAAUCCCUGGUUCUGAUAUAUCUAGGCAGUCAUUGCCUUAGCCACACUCAGCCUUAAUCUCCUGAUCUGCAAAAUGGGGAGAACCACACUAACUUUGCAGUUUGCGGUGAGAGUCAAGGAAACCCACGUGAGAAGUGUCUGGCACUGUGCCUCGCAUGUAGGCUUGAGCUGAGCUCCAGGGAGUGAGAGAAAGGGGACCUAACAGACUUGUGGGAGACGAGCGUGAAGACAAAGCAAUGACCCCAGAUAGGCCAGUCGCAAAUGCCAGGAAAGAUCCACGGACCCUGGAGUUUCACCUGGACCUUGAGAAACAGAAUUUGAAUAUUGUGGAGAUUAACAAAACAAAACACCACAGGAGCAAAGGUCCUGAGUGAAGCUGGCCCUUUGGGGCUGGUGUAUCUGGUCAGCUGGUAGGCAUGGAGGGCCCACCCCACGGGGAGAAGCCAGGCAGAGAAAGAAGGCUGGAGGCGGCCGGAAAAGACGGAAAAGACACAGGUGUCAGGCGACGUUUGAAUUGAUUUUCAGCACUAGGGAGCCAUCUCUGAUCAGGGAGUGGAGUGAGCAGAAAUGCCUUCUGGAGGAGGCCUUGAAACCACCUUUGCAAAAAUGGUAUCAGUGAGAAAAUUAUGACAGUGAAAGAGAUCUCAGCUAACCUACCCCCAAUCUUUCCUUUCCCUUCCUUAUUCCUGGGUAUUGGGCCGAGCUAACUUUGAAGACAUUUAGGCUGUAGUUUAAAUGGUAACAGGCCUUGUCCCAAAACGCAGCUGCUUUUGUAAAGCUAAUGAGAGGCCAUCAGGCCUGGGGGAGUAGAGGGCCCUGACUCCUGCUAAGGCGCAGACAUAAAAGACUGUCAGCCACGAUGCCAGAGGUCAGAAGACAGGCAACUUCCCUAAUUACUCCUGCAAAUAAUGCCAAUGUUGUGAACCUAAGGUCGGCCUUCCGAGAUACCUUUUCAGGCCUUUUGCAUGUCUGACACCCAUGGCUCCACCUGGACCCGCCAACCUUGCCCCUGUGGCCCCACCCAGAAGUGACUCAGCACCCAGGAGGACAGCUUCGACCCCCUAAGAUUUCAUCUCUGCCAACAGCAAGCACCUGUUACCUGGCCACCCCCAACUCUUCCCCCAAACUGCCUUUGAAAAACCCCUAACCUACAAGCUUUGAAGAUAAUUUCAGUACUAACUCUGUCUCCCACAUGGCACGGCGGGCCUUGGGUCUGUUCAAUUCUUUCUUUACUGCAAUUCCACGACCUUUCUUCAUGCAGUGGGCAGGAAGAACUCCUCCAGUGAUUACAGCCUGGGGUGCAGGGUCUGGAUGGACGGAGCAGCACCUGGAGAGGGCCGUUAACCCUCUGUUGUCCAUGUGUGGCUAGGCGAGGGCUGCAGCCAGACCCAUGGCCUUAUCUGCCUGCAGGGCCCGCCUGAGCCCUCAGUGACAGACACAGGUUUCUAAGCCAACCCAGAGGGGAUGCAGAGCCCUCCCUUUGGAGAGUUGAGAUCCUGCUGAACCUAGGAAAGUACUGAAACACCAGCAGAGAGCUCACAGAGCAGCCAUGGCCAGGGCUCAGGCACUGCCUGCGGCCCACCCUGGAGCUCCCACGCCCACCUGUCUCAUCUUUCCAGAACUGGCCCAUCUCUGCAGAGUUGGCAGCAGGUCCUCCUGCCAGCUGAGAGCCAGCUCCAGGACUCCUUGGCUUUUUCCAGGCAGAGCCCAAGGCCCAGGUGCCAAACCCGUGUCCCAGCUCUUCUUGGCAGGCCUGGCCCUUGUUUGUCUUUGGGUUUUUCAACUUUUUAUUUUGGAAUCAUUACAGACAAGUUGCAACGAUAGUACAGAGAGUUCGUUCCCAUGUACCCUCACCCAGCUUCCGCUAGUGUUAACGUCUUACAUAACCGUGGUACACUUGUCAAAGCAAAGAAAUUAACAUUGGAACAAUACUAUUAAUUGAACUACA
rnacentral:lncRNA from 1 species